GGCCUGGUGGUCUAGUAGUAUGAUUCCUUCUUAGGGUGCUGUGCUAGCAGUUUCAAUUGGAGGAGGUCCCGGGUUCAAUUCCCGGCCAGGCCC